rnacentral:tRNA from 1 species
AAACAUAAUAAACUAUAUUCUGAUAAGAUAUAAAAGAGAAAUCAUAUGUUUA